UAGUAUCAGCGUGUCAGCAGCUGCGGUAAUACGAAGGGGGCUAGCGUUGUUCGGAUUUACUGGGCGUAAAGCGCACGUAAGCGGUUUGUUAAGUCAGGGGUGAAUCCCGGAGCUCAACUCCGGAACUGCCUUUGAUACUGGCAAGCUAGAGUCCGGAAGAGGUAAGUGGAACUCCUAGUGUAGAGGUGGAAUUCGUAGAUAUUAGGAAGAACACCAGUGGCGAAGGCGGCUUACUGGUCCGGAACUGACGCUGAGGUGCGAAAGCGUGGGGANCAAACAGGAUUAGAUACCCUGGUAGUCCCACGCCGUAAACUAUGAGAGCUAGCCGUUGGAUGGUUUACCAUUCAGUGGCGCAGCUAACGCAUUAAGCUCGUCCGCUGGGGA
rnacentral:rRNA from 1 species